UGGCGCUGAGCAUAAACGGAGUAAGGAUCACGUCGGGCAUAUACAGGAAGUUCUGGAAUGAAGUUUAGUUACUGAGCGAUCGAUUUAUUUGAGGACUGCAUACUCUUAGCAUUAUUGCCAAAUGCUUUUCACCUCCCUUAGUUCCUUAUCCGAGAACAAGUCUAAGGAUCAGAUGCUCUCAGUAUUUAGGCCUAUAGUUAAUAGUCUAUUUAUGCUUACCAAUGCUAUCUAGGGCCAGCAACGGAAUAAUCAACUGGGAAGCAGUGCUGCACAUCGAAAACAACUGGAAGCACAGUGCUGGGAGUUCCAUGGGCGAUAGCUCCUGCAGGGCGCCUGAGAAUUUGUUGAGCACCGUCAAAACUUCUCCAC